rnacentral:rRNA from 1 species
AUGGGGGACCCUGAUGCAGCCAUGCCGCGUGUGUGAAGAAGGCCUUCGGGUUGUAAAGCACUUUCAGCAGUGAGGAAGGGGUGGUGUUUAAUAGAUGCCAUCUUUGACGUUAGCUGCAGAAGAAGCACCGGCUAACUCCGUGCCAGCAGCCGCGGUAAUACGGAGGGUGCGAGCGUUAAUCGGAAUUACUGGGCGUAAAGCGCAUGCAGGCGGCGUGUUAAGCCAGAUGUGAAAGCCCGGGGCUCAACCUCGGAAUAGCAUUUGGAACUGGCAUGCUAGAGUCUUGUAGAGGGGGGUAGAAUUUCAGGUGUAGCGGUGAAAUGCGUAGAGAUCUGAAGGAAUACCGGUGGCGAAGGCGGCCCCCUGGACAAAGACUGACGCUCAGAUGCGAAAGCGUGGGGAGCAAACAGGAUUAGAUACCCUGGUAGUCCACGCCGUAAACGAUGUCUACUUGGAGGUUGGUGUCUUGAACACUGGCUUUCGGAGCUAACGCGUUAAGUAGACCGCCUGGGGAGUACGGUCGCAAGAUUAAAACUCAAAUGAAUUGACGGGGGCCCGCACAAGCGGUGGAGCAUGUGGUUUAAUUCGAUGCAACGCGAAGAACCUUACCUACUCUUGACAUCCAGAGAACUUUCCAGAGAUGGAUUGGUGCCUUCGGGAACUCUGAGACAGGUGCUGCAUGGCUGUCGUCAGCUCGUGUUGUGAAAUGUUGGGUUAAGUCCCGCAACGAGCGCAACCCUUAUCCUUGUUUGCCAGCACUUCGGGUGGGAACUCCAGGGAGACUGCCGGUGAUAAACCGGAGGAAGGUGGGGACGACGUCAAGUCAUCAUGGCCCUUACGAGUAGGGCUACACACGUGCUACAAUGGCGUAUACAGAGGGCUGCCAACUAGCGAUAGUGAGCGAAUCCCACAAAGUACGUCGUAGUCCGGAUUGCAGUCUGCAACUCGACUCCAUGAAGUCGGAUCGCUAGUAAUCGUGGAUCAGAAUGCCACGGUGAAUACGUUCCCGGCCUGUACACACGCCCGUCACACCAUGGGAGUGGGCUGCACAGAGGUAGAUAGCUAACCUUCAGGAGGCCGUUUACCACGGUGUGAUCAUGACUGGGGUG